GCCGAGAUAGCUCAGCUGGGAGAGCAACAGACUGAAGUGAUCCGGCUUUCUGGAGGUCGCGUGUUCAAUCCACGCUCUUGGCA